UACGUAGGCAGCGAGCGUUGUUCGGAGUUACUGGGCGUAAAGAGCGUGUAGGCGGCCAGACAGGUCAGCUGUGAAAACUCGAGGCUCAACCUCGAGACGUCGGUUGAAACCGUCUGGCUAGAGUCCGGAAGAGGAGAGUGGAAUUCCCGGUGUAGCGGUGAAAUGCGCAGAUAUCGGGAAGAACACCCGUGGCGAAGGCGGCUCUCUGGGACGGUACUGACGCUGAGACGCGAAAGCGUGGGGAGCGAACAGG
rnacentral:rRNA from 1 species